AGGAUUAUAGUUAAAAAAAAACAUUUGAUUUGCAUUCAAAAAUAUUGAAAUUCAAUUUUUCUUA
rnacentral:tRNA from 1 species